CCUACGGGUGGCUGCAGUAGGGAAUCUUCCGCAAUGGACGAAAGUCUGACGGAGCAACGCCGCGUGAGCGAAGAAGGUCUUCGGAUCGUAAAGCUCUGUUGUUAGGGAAGAACAAGUAUCGGAGGAAAUGCCGGUACCUUGACGGUACCUGACGAGAAAGCCACGGCUAACUACGUGCCAGCAGCCGCGGUAAUACGUAGGUGGCAAGCGUUGUCCGGAUUUAUUGGGCGUAAAGCGCGCGCAGGCGGUCCUUUAAGUCUGAUGUGAAAUCUUGCGGCUCAACCGCAAGCGGUCGUUGGAAGCUGGGAGACUGGGUUGGAGAAGAGGAAAGCGGAAUUCCACGAGUAGCGGUGAAAUGCGUAGAGAUGUGGAGGACGACCAGUGGCGAAGGCGGCUGUCUCGUCUGUAACUGACGCGGAGGCGCGAAAGCGUGGGGAUCAAACCGGAUUAGAUACCCGAUAGUC
rnacentral:rRNA from 1 species